AAAGUACUCUCUCCGUCCCAAAAUUAUUGUCUUAGAUUUGUCUAGAUACGGAUGUAUCAAGUCACAUUUUAGUAUUAGAUACAUCCGUAUCUAGACAAAUCUAAGACAAGAAAUUUGGGACAGAGGGAGUAGUUG
rnacentral:pre_miRNA from 1 species